GUGGGAUACGGUGACAUGUACCCUGCGACUGUUUGGGGUAAAAUGGUUGGCUCCAUGUGCGCCAUUGCUGGUGUUCUGACCAUCUCUCUGCCUGUGCCCGUCAUUGUGUCCAAC
rfam:Xiphophorus maculatus strain JP 163 A Contig729.2, whole genome shotgun sequence.